AUGUCUGGGCGCGGCAAGGGCGGCAAGGGGCUCGGCAAGGGCGGCGCCAAGCGCCACCGGAAGGUGCUCCGCGACAACAUCCAGGGCAUCACCAAGCCGGCGAUCCGGAGGCUGGCGAGGAGGGGCGGCGUGAAGCGCAUCUCGGGGCUCAUCUACGAGGAGACCCGCGGCGUCCUCAAGAUCUUCCUCGAGAACGUCAUCCGCGACGCCGUCACCUACACCGAGCACGCCCGCCGCAAGACCGUCACCGCCAUGGACGUCGUCUACGCCCUCAAGCGCCAGGGCCGCACCCUCUACGGCUUCGGCGGCUGA
rnacentral:rRNA from 1 species